AGGCUGACGUGGCCUUGAAGGAGCGAGGUGUGGAGUGGCGGAACACCACUAGAAGCAAGAGGGACGCUCGAAUACUUGGCGGAAAGGCGGUGAACCGGUGGCGUUGGCACCGAAGACCUGAGCAGGAGGAGGACAUCAGUGGCAUUGCACCAGUCUGACUUGAUCCUCAACGCCCCGCAGCGCUGCCCGCGGUCUCCGGCAAAUGCUCGAACGGUCCGAGGACAACGGUUCCGUCCACGCUACAGGGACAACCUCGCCCUCGCCGGCGGCAACGUUCAAUAAGCCAGGUCCACUCUACAGAGACAAGCCCUCAACAGAGAUGCCAGUAGUCCACAGGGCCAUACAAAAGGAUUACAGCGAAGCAGACAUGUAAGCGCCCCAUCACACUUUACUUAUUAGCACACUUAGCGAGAAAUAAGAACUGGAUGGUUUAAGAACUAGUGAAAGACAUAAGCGGAAACGGAAGAGACCGAACACAAAGUGUAACCAGUUAGCCCGGCGUAUGCAGAUUUGAUGUUGACUUGUAUAUUGUGUGGUAAUGUUAUGUGUUUUGUGUGACUGUCUGUAUUGAUAUCUUGUGCGCCAAGAGCGGUGGCAAUGUGAUGCACAAGCAAAUUAGUGCCUGGGAGCCCGGCCGUACUACAGGCGAACAAUGCAGUGUGGCGAGCGAGUACCGAGGACAAGGUAGGCGAAUUUGCAGGCUCACUGUCGGCGUCGGUGUGGUGCCCUGGGCCAUGGCCACUUGAAUGGCGUACAUGAAGUGUACGCAGAGCCGUCACAUCUGCGCCACGCAUUGGCGGCAUCACGAAUACGGCUUUCGGCGAGCGACAUCUUCACGUCAUCCGGCCAGGCAUGGGAAGUCCGUGACCUGAGGAGUUGGGAUGAUAGGCGUGACGGCGACAGAGGUCGGGGAACCGUGGGCGCCGUGUCUGAGCGGUGCGGCAAGCCGCUCCGCAACAGUGUCUCCGAGGGCGGGUCGUCUACCGAAGGAAACUGCCGAACCCUUUCGGUGGGUGGAACUCAGUUGUCCGGGGGCACAAGGUGGCACGACGAAUCGACUGGCAGCCUUCAAAAUUCCGGAGAACUUGUGACCCUUGCCGUGGAGACCGGUUUUAUGGAGCUUGGGACACAUCCUGCUUGGACGAAAGAGGAAAGCGACGCGGUUGACGUCAGCAGCGGUCCUUCCUCGUCCUGCCGACGAUGGGACGCCCAAAGGGAUUUAAGGCAAAGCCGGCCCAUUGUUAGAGAGAGAGUCGUCUCCAGCCGCCCAGUCGGUCUGGUGCGCUCUUCGGCUCCGUUAAUUUAUGCUACUACCUGAUAUUACCUGCUAUAUUGCACAUGCUGUAUAAAGCUUUUAAUCUCCUCUU